rnacentral:rRNA from 1 species
UACGUAGGGUGCAAGCGUUUAUCCGGAAUUAUUGGGCGUAAAGAGCUCGUAGGCGGUUUGUCGCGUCUGCUGUGAAAACUGGAGGCUCAACCUCCAGCCUGCAGUGGGUACGGGCAGACUAGAGUGCGGUAGGGGAGAUUGGAAUUCCUGGUGUAGCGGUGGAAUGCGCAGAUAUCAGGAGGAACACCAAUGGCGAAGGCAGAUCUCUGGGCCGAACUGACGCUGAGGAGCGAAGCAUGGGGAGCGAACAGG